AUUGAACGCUGGCGGCAGGCUUAACACAUGCAAGUCGAGCGGGGUGAUGGUGCUUGCACUAUCACUUAGCGGCGGACGGGUGAGUAAUGCUUAGGAAUCUGCCUAUUAGUGGGGGACAACAUCUCGAAAGGGAUGCUAAUACCGCAUACGUCCUACGGGAGAAAGCAGGGGAUCACUUGUGACCUUGCGCUAAUAGAUGAGCCUAAGUCGGAUCAGCUAGUUGGUGGGGUAAAGGCCUACCAAGGCGACGAUCCGUAGCGGGUCUGAGAGGAUGAUCCGCCACACUGGGACUGAGACACGGCCCAGACUCCUACGGGAGGCAGCGGUGGGGAAUAUUGGACAAUGGGGGGAACCCUGAUCCAGCCAUGCCGCGUGUGUGAAGAAGGCCUUAUGGUUGUAAAGCACUUUAAGCGAGGAGGAGGCUCUUUUGGUUAAUACCCAAGAUGAGUGGACGUUACUCGCAGAAUAAGCACCGGCUAACUCUGUGCCAGCCGCCGCAGUAA
rnacentral:rRNA from 1 species